rnacentral:rRNA from 1 species
GACGUAGGGCGCGAGCGUUGUCCGGAUUUAUUGGGCGUAAAGAGCUCGUAGGCGGCUUGUUGCGUCAGCUGUGAAAACCCGCAGCUCAACUGUGGGCUUGCAGUCGAUACGGGCAGGCUAGAGUUCGGCAGGGGAGACUGGAAUUCCUGGUGUAGCGGUGAAAUGCGCAGAUAUCAGGAGGAACACCGGUGGCGAAGGCGGGUCUCUGGGCCGAUACUGACACUGAGGAGCGAAAGCGUGGGGAGCGAACAGG